GGUAGGUUCCGAUUUCGUAUCAAAAGACUUCACCUUCAGGCGGAACAAAAAACUAGGGAUCAAUUCGAUUAAUCAGUAGCAAAAUUAAGACAUAAUCUCAAAACUUGGCAUGGAAAGAGUCUUGAAAUCCACUUCAGGUUCGUUCAUUAAGUUUCUACCCUCAUCGACGCACAAUAGAGGCUGGUUUCGUGGGUUCUUUCACCUUUACACCAACGACGGUGGAGCUAGAGAGAGAGUUUAUGGUGUGCAGUUAAUGCUAUUCAAAUAUGUUAUUUACCAGCCUCAUCCAGGUUUCAGAACCAACUUAUUCUCGAAUAAUCUCUGCUCAGAUCCAAUACCUUCCUUAUUCCUCAUUCAGUAUCCUCAUUCCUCACUUGAUCAGCGAAUCCAAUUCCCCUCCACCUUACUUCAACUCGAUCGGACUCGACUCACUUACUUAUACCCACUGGAACCGAUCAAGUAAGUUUAUCUUACACAAAUAAGACAUAACUAAAAAUAAUGAUGUUGAAGUUGAAGCACAAAGAGGCAGAUGGAAGGGAGAGGAGCAUGAUAGUUACUGCAGGUGAAUGCAGAAGUAUGUAGGUGUUGAUAUCACAUCAAUGGUGACUCUACCAGUACUCAUUUUUGAACCCAUGACAAUGCUACAGAAAAUGGCAGAGG